AUGACGGUACCAUACGAAUAAGCAUCGGCUAACUCCGUGCCAGCAGCCGCGGUAAUACGGAGGAUGCGAGCGUUAUCCGGAAUCAUUGGGUUUAAAGGGUCCGUAGGCGGACCAAUAAGUCACGGGUGAAAGUCUGCGGCUCAACUGUAGAAUUGCCUUUGAUACUGUGGGUCUUGAAUGUGUAGGAAGUGGCUGGAAUGAGUAGUGUAGCGGAGAAAUGCAUAGAUAUUACUCAGAACACCGAUUGCGAAGGCAGGUCACUACUACACCAUUGACGCUGAUGGACGAAAGCGUGGGGAGCGAACAGGAUUAGAUACCCUGGUAGUCCACGCCGUAAACGAUGGAUACUAGCUGUUGGGUUUUCGGACUCAGUGGCUUAGCGAAAGUGAUAAGUAUCCCACCUGGGGAGUACGUUCGCAAGAAUGAAACUCAAAGGAAUUGACGGA
rnacentral:rRNA from 1 species